rnacentral:lncRNA from 1 species
UUGGAAGCUUUAGUGUCUAUCCGAUGAUAACUGUUGUUCCUGUUCUUCUCUGACGAAUCUUUAGGUUGGCUCCUCGCUUUAUUCUAGUCGUAGUAUGGGUGGCAGUGGUUAUAUGGGAAGUGGUGGGUCUGGUUCUUACUACUAAGGUAUGUCUCUUUUUAUUACAACCAUCGUAUUUUAUUUGGUCGCCUGCUUUAGAGCUGAGUAUCCCAUACGAGCUUGUGAUUCCCUCCUCCCCCUCUUCCUGUGAAAAUGAAGCUGGGAAGGUUUUUCUUAUGUUUCUUCUCUGAAAGAGCUGUAUUUCAAGAUAUGGAGCAUUUGGUCACCCACCAACUUAUUUAUGGUACAGAUUUGAGUUGACAAAAGAGCUUGCAGUUGGAUGUGUUAACAUUGAAGCCCUAUGCAUUGACAUGCCUCUGUCCUCUGAGGGAGAUGGAGUUUAUCUGUUAUCUAUUGCUUCUUUGUAUAUGUACGGCUAGAUAAUUUAGCAUUAGAGGUUGUAUUGCUCCGAAGCAUCUUGGAUUCUAAUUGGGAAAAGAAACAUCUGUUCCUUUUCUGAUGUAAGGAAAUUUGAGUUAUGUAGAGCAAACAGAGAUCUGUUUAUUUCUGGUAUAUGAGCAUGCAAUAAUUUGUAGUGGUUUCUCCUUUUAAGAAUUUGCUGGAAAAGUGGAGGAGGUAUGCUGCAUGAUUAUUUCAAAAGAAAAUGAAUCCUAAAAGCUCAAGUUACCUAUUAGCCAGUCAUGAUUCUUAGGAUAUAUUACAGUGGUGGAUCCGUAAGAGUUCUAU